GGAUUAGAUACCCUGGUAGUCCACGCGGUAAACGAUGUCGGCUUGGUGUUUGAUGGUGUGAAAGCGCUGUUGAGUACCGAAGCUCACGCGAUAAGCCGACCGCCUGGGGACUACGAGCGCAAGCUUAAAACUCAAAUGAAUUGACGGGGGCCCGCACAAGCGGUGGAGCAUGUGGUUUAAUUCGAAGCAACGCGCAGAACCUUACCAACUCUUGACAUGGGGGUCGCAGAAUCCAGAGAUGGAUUCCUCAGUUCGGCUGGACCCCACACAGGUGCUGCAUGGCUGUCGUCAGCUCGUGCUG
rnacentral:rRNA from 1 species